UGGCCGAGUGGUCUAAGGCGUCAGAUUUAGGCUCUGAUCUUCAUUGGCGCAGGUUCGAAUCCUGCCGAUG
rnacentral:tRNA from 1 species